GUGGGGAAUAUUGGGCAAUGGGCGAAAGCCUGACCCAGCAACGCCGCGUGAAGGAAGAAGGUCUUCGGAUCGUAAACUUCUAUCCUUGGUGAAGAUAAUGACGGUAGCCGAGAAGGAAGCCCCGGCUAACUACGUGCCAGCAGCCGCGGUAAUACGUAGGGGGCAAGCGUUGUCCGGAAUGAUUGGGCGUAAAGGGCGCGUAGGCGGCCUGGUAAGUCUGGAGUGAAAGUCCUGCUUUUAAGGUGGGAAUUGCUUUGGAUACUGUCGGGCUUGAGUGCAGGAGAGGUAAGUGGAAGUCCCGGUGUAGCGGUGAAAUGCGUAGAGAUCGGGAGGAACACCAGUGGCGAAGGCGACUUACUGGACUGUAACUGACGCUGAGGCGCGAAAGUGUGGGGAGCAAACAGGAUUAGAUACCCGAGUAGUCC
rnacentral:rRNA from 1 species